UACGUAGGGGGCAAGCGUUAUCCGGAUUUACUGGGUGUAAAGGGAGCGUAGACGGUUAUGUAAGUCUGAAGUGAAAGCCCGGGGCCCAGCCCCGGGACUGCUUUGGAAACUGUGUAACUAGAGUACAGGAGGGGCAGGCGGAAUUCCUGGUGUAGCGGUGAAAUGCGUAGAUAUCAGGAGGAACACCGGCGGCGAAGGCGGCCUGCUGGACUGAAACUGACAUUGAGGCUCGAAAGCGUGGGGAGCGAACAGG
rnacentral:rRNA from 1 species